rnacentral:tRNA from 1 species
UGGGAUGUGGCUCAGAGGUAGAGCUCUCGCCUCGGAUGUGUGAAACACUGGGUUUGUCCCCAGCAUCUCAU